rnacentral:rRNA from 1 species
GAUGAACGUUGGCGGUGUGCCUAAUACAUGCAAGUCGAACGGAGUCAGUAGCAAUAUUGGCUCAGUGGCGAACGGGUGAGUAACGCGUUGGUGAUCUGCCUUGAAGUGUGGAAUAACGUUUCGAAAGGGACGCUAAUACCGCAUGUGCUCUCGAUUUUUAGAACGUUGAGAGUAAAGGAUUUAUUCGCUUCAAGAGGAGCCUGCGUCCCAUCAGCUGGUUGGUAGGGUAACGGCCUACCAAGGCUAUGACGGGUAGGGGACCUGAGAGGGUGGCCCCCCACAAUGGAACUGAAACACGGUCCAUACACCUACGGGUGGCAGCAGUAGGGAAUAUUAGAAAUGGACGAAAGUCUGAUCUAGCAACACCGCGUGUGCGAAGAAGGCCUUCGGGUCGUAAAGCACUUUUUGGAAGGAAUAGGAAGAAUGUACUUCCAGAAUAAAGUCUCGGCUAAACUACGUAGCCAAGCAGCCGCGGUAAAAGUCAACGUCG